rnacentral:SRP_RNA from 13 species
GCAGGGUGCAGUGGCAUGUGCCUGUAGUCCCAGCUACUCGGGAGGCUGAGGUGGGAGGAUCACUUGAGCCCCGGAGUUCUGGGCUAUAGUGCGCUGUGCUGAUCGGGUGUCAGCACUAAGUUGGGCAUCCAUGUGGUGACAUCCCGAGAGCGGCGGACCAAAGGUUGCCUACAGAGGGGUGAACUGGCCCAGGUCGGAAAAGGAGCAGGUCAGAACUCCCGUGCUAAUCAGUAGUGGGACUGCGCCUGUGAAUAGCCACUGCACUCCAGCCUGGGCAACAUAGGAGACCCCAUCUAUU